GAUGAACGCUGGCGGCGUGCCUAAUACAUGCAAGUCGAGCGAACGGACGAGAAGCUUGCUUCUCUGAUGUUAGCGGCGGACGGGUGAGUAACACGUGGAUAACCUACCUAUAAGACUGGGAUAACUUCGGGAAACCGUAGCUAAUACCGGAUAAUAUUUUGAACCGCAUGGUUCAAAAGUGAAAGACGGUCUUGCUGUCACUUAUAGAUGGAUCCGCGCUGCAUUAGCUAGUUGGUAAGGUAACGGCUUACCAAGGCAACGAUGCAUAGCCGACCUGAGAGGGUGAUCGGCCACACUGGAACUGAGACACGGUCCAGACUCCUACGGGAGGCAGCAGUAGGGAAUCUUCCGCAAUGGGCGAAAGCCUGACGGAGCAACGCCGCGUGAGUGAUGAAGGUCUUCGGAUCGUAAAACUCUGUUAUUAGGGAAGAACAUAUGUGUAAGUAACUGUGCACAUCUUGACGGUACCUAAUCAGAAAGCCACGGCUAACUACGUGCCAGCAGCCGCGGUAAUACGUAGGUGGGAAGCGUUAUCCGGAAUUAUUGGGCGUAAAGCGCGCGUAGCGGUUUUUUAGUCUGAUGUGAAAGCCCACGGCUCAACCGUGGAGGGUCAUUGGAAACUGGAAAACUUGAGUGCAGAAGAGGAAAGUGGAAUUCCAUGUGUAGCGGUGAAAUGCGCAGAGAUAUGGAGGAACACCAGUGGCGAAGGCGACUUUCUGGUCUGUAACUGACGCUGAUGUGCGGAAGCGUGGGGAUCAAACAGGAUUAGAUACCCUGGUAGUCCACGCCGUAAACGAUGAGUGCUAAGUGUUAGGGGGUUUCCGCCCCUUAGUGCUGCAGCUAACGCAUUAAGCACUCCGCCUGGGGAGUACGACCGCAAGGUUGGAACUCAAAGGAAUUGACGGGGACCCGCACAAGCGGUGGAGCAUGUGGUUUAAUUCGAAGCAACGCGAAGAACCUUACCAAAUCUUGACAUCCUUUGACAACUCUAGAGAUAGAGCCUUCCCCUUCGGGGGACAAAGUGACAGGUGGUGCAUGGUUGUCGUCAGCUCGUGUCGUGAGAUGUUGGGUUAAGUCCCGCAACGAGCGCAACCCUUAAGCUUAGUUGCCAUCAUUAAGUUGGGCACUCUAAGUUGACUGCCGGUGACAAACCGGAGGAAGGUGGGGAUGACGUCAAAUCAUCAUGCCCCUUAUGAUUUGGGCUACACACGUGCUACAAUGGACAAUACAAAGGGCAGCGAAACCGCGAGGUCAAGCAAAUCCCAUAAAGUUGUUCUCAGUUCGGAUUGUAGUCUGCAACUCGACUACAUGAAGCUGGAAUCGCUAGUAAUCGUAGAUCAGCAUGCUACGGUGAAUACGUUCCCGGGUCU
rnacentral:rRNA from 1 species